rnacentral:ncRNA from 1 species
UAAACUCUGGAGAGUCUCACAGAACGAGCGCCGAAGGUGUACGGUACAGCCUUGUACCAAUCUCUCAGGCAAAAGGACAGAUGA